AUAUCAAUAAGCGGAGGAAAAGAAACCAACAGGGAUUACCUCAGUAACGGCGAGUGAAGCGGUAACAGCUCAAAUUUGAAAUCUGGCUCUUUCAGGGUCCGAGUUGUAAUUUGUAGAAGAUGCUUCGGGUGUAGCUCCGGUCUAAGUUCCUUGGAACAGGACGUCAUAGAGGGUGAGAAUCCCGUAUGUGACUGGUUGCUUUCGCCCAUGUGAAGCUCUUUCGACGAGUCGAGUUGUUUGGGAAUGCAGCUCUAAAUGGGUGGUAAAUUUCAUCUAAAGCUAAAUAUUGGCCAGAGACCGAUAGCGCACAAGUAGAGUGAUCGAAAGAUGAAAAGCACUUUGGAAAGAGAGUUAAACAGUACGUGAAAUUGUUGAAAGGGAAGCGCUUGCAACCAGACUUGCACCCCGUCGAUCAUCCCCCGUUCUCGGAGGUGCACUCGGCGGGGUUCAGGCCAGCAUCGGUUUCGGUGGUGGGAUAAAGGCCUUGGGAACGUAGCUCCUCUCGGGGAGUGUUAUAGCCCUCGGUGCAAUGCCGCCUACCGGGACCGAGGACCGCGCUUCGGCUAGGAUGCUGGCGUAAUGGUUGUAAGCGACCCGUCUUGAAACACGGACCAAGGAGUCUAACAUCUAUGCGAGUGUUUGGGUGUUAAACCCAUACGCGUAAUGAAAGUGAACGGAGGUGAGAACCCUUUAGGGUGCAUCAUCGACCGAUCCUGAUGUCUUCGGAUGGAUUUGAGUAAGAGCAUAGCUGUUGGGACCCGAAAGAUGGUGAACUAUGCCUAAAUAGGGUGAAGCCAGAGGAAACUCUGGUGGAGGCUCGCAGCGGUUCUGACGUGCAAAUCGAUCGUCAAAUUUGGGUAUAGGGGCGAAAGACUAAUCGAACCAUCUAGUAGCUGGUUCCUGC
rnacentral:rRNA from 1 species